CUAGCUUAUUAGCUCCCCAGCGGUUUACUGGAGCACCUGACCGCAGGUAACACAGCUAGCUAGCAGGUCCUCGUAGCCACCACACCUGCACUGCUGCCGAAUGGAAAUGGCUAACGUCACCAUGACCGCAGUUGUCCGUAAUAUUCCCAGCAGCCGACGCUCCGCGAGCGUUGCCACGGCAACGCAGCAGGAGGAAGAGGGAGAGGCGCUCGUCGUGCCCAUCGGCGAAGCGCUGCAGAGGCACACGACGCGGGUUUACAAAUGCCGUUCAGUUCAGUUGUUGAUUUAUACACAAUAGCAACAGCAAACUGUAUUGAUUUGCUAAUGAUCAUUUUUGCACUUGUUUUUUUAGCCUACAAAUAAUUAAACCUACCACAAAAUAAAAGUUGAAAAAAGGCAGAUCAGUGAUUUUCGCUGGUGGUGACUGUCACUGUGGUGGAGAAGAUGAUUCUUAAAGAUAGCCUUUAGAUCUAACUAGUCUCCAUCUGAAAAACUAAGCAGUUAGAUUUCCCAUUAGGUUAGGGGUACAUUUUCAUAUGAUAAACCGUGUUCGCAUUUGGCAGGCACAACUAAACUAGCAAUGACUGCAGUUAUACUGAAUCUGAACUGCAAUCAGUAUAUAGUACACGCAGCUCGCUUUUCUCACAACCAUACCUGCAUUUUUAAUGGUAUUUUCAGAGAAGAAAGCCAAUCAUGGCAGGCGGCCACCACAGAUUCUGAAUCAUCCUGCAGAUUGAUUAAAGCUGGAGGUUUUCUAGACAAUUGGAGCAUAGAUGUCAUCAAGGCCAAUCAAGCCUGGCCCUAUUUCUUUCCCAUUACAAAGGCUGCACCUGAUUAAGUACAUCAAAUGAGCAGUCGCACAUCUCCUGGCGCAAGAGGCAUACAGGCUGCUGCUAAUUUUCAGGUUAUAAGCUGUGUGCAACAGGACCAGAUAAAAAUGACCAGGGAGAGGGCAAUGAUUUUUCUCUGUGUGUGAUCUGUGUUUGAUGGCGAGCAUCAACAGGCCACUGAGUAGAUAGGUCAGACUGAUUAUUUUUCAGAUGACAGGAAGAGAAUACAGAGCUACUGUGUAAUAUUUCUCUAAAAUUGAAAAUUGAAUAGCUGUCCUCCAUGCUAUGUCAUUCCUUGAACACUAUGCCAAUUAAAGAGCUCUAUGGUGGUACAAUCAUUCAUUUUCAAGAGGGAGAUUGAAAUUGAAUUAUGGAGCAUGAGAAGAAUGAAUUAGAUACGCUACAUGUUUCCCUUGUUUCUCAGUUCUUAUCAAAUAGAGAGAGACUACAUAUGCUUGAAUGUAUCGCAGGAUCCCUGCUCGUCUCUGCCAGAGCUUAUGCUCAAACUCACAUUUGGCGGUUGGCUUGCAAAAGACAGGAUUUGCAUGAGAACAUUAUUUUUCAAUAGUAUGACAGUUACAAUCAAAACUGACAUGAUCUGUCCGACAUGGCUAUUCCUUAUGAGAUCUUUUUGUAGGCUGUCAUGUUAUAAAGGGAAACUGAAAUCAAGGAGACGGUUUAAAAAAUAUAUUUAAAUGUAUUUAAAUCCAUUUAUUACAAACAAUUAGAUGUAAUAAGAUGUAAAAGUAUGGUAUUUGUUGCAGCAAAUACUUUACCUUGUGAUGUUUUUUCCUGUGCUCCCUAUCGUGUCCUCUUUCAUGACGUGUUUGAAUAAGGUGAAAAUUAUUUAACAUUCAACAAUAACCUCCCUACCCCCUGCCUAUAUGUUUUAUUCGUCAUAAUAUCGGAAUUGUGCAGGAAUGAUUUAAUGAACACAUCCAUCUCUGGAAACCGUGAUUGCAUUAAAGAAAAGCACAGUC